rnacentral:misc_RNA from 1 species
UUAAGUUCAGCGGGUAGCCCUACCUGAUUUGAGACCAGAGUUCAAGAAUUGUCCGAAGACGAUUAGAAGCGUACUUCUCAAGCCGACACCAGCGAAACUUAUUACGCCAGAUAGACAAGUUAAACACGCUAACUCCUUUAAGAGGAGCCAUUUAGAAUGGCAACCUCCAAAUCCAAGCCAUUAAGAAACCCUAAUGGUUG